rnacentral:rRNA from 1 species
UACGGAGGGUGCAAGCGUUGUUCGGAUUUAUUGGGCGUAAAGGGCGUGUAGGCGGUUUGUUAAGUCUGAUGUGAAAGCCCCGGGCUCAACCUGGGAAGUGCAUUGGAAACUGGCAGACUUGAGUACGGGAGAGGGCAGUGGAAUUCCCAGUGUAGGAGUGAAAUCCGUAGAUAUUGGGAGGAACACCGGUGGCGAAGGCGGCUGCCUGGACCGAUACUGACGCUGAGACGCGAAAGCGUGGGGAGCAAACAGG